CCAAGGCGACGAUCCGUAACUGGUCUGAGAGGAUGAUCAGUCACACUGGAACUGAGACACGGUCCAGACUCCUACUGGAGGCCCCAGUGGGGAAUAUUGGACAAUGGGCGAAAGCCUGAUCCAGCCAUGCCGCGUGUGUGAAGAAGGUCUUCGGAUUGUAAAGCACUUUAAGUAAGGUGGUGUAAAUUUCCUGUGAGCGGUGAAAUGGGUUGAUUAUGGAAGAACCCGGGUGGCGAAGGCGAACAACUGGACUGAUACUGCACUUGAGGUCGCAAGCGUGGGAGCAACCGGAUUAGAUGCCUGUAGUUCAGCCGGUAACGAUGUCACUAAGCCGUUGGAAGCCUUGACUUCUUAUGGCCCAGCUAACGCAUUAAGUUGACCGCUUGGGAGUACGCCCGCCAAGUUAAAACUCAAAUGAAUGACGGGGGCCCGCACAAGCGGUGGAGCAUGUGGUUUUAUUUGAAGCACCGCGAAGAACCAUAACCAGGCCUGACAUCCAAUGACUUUCCCAGAGAUGGAUGGGGUGCCUUCGGCCUUGAAACAGGUGCUGCAUGGCUGUGGUCAGCUCGUGUCGUGAGAUGUUGGGUUAAGUCCCGUAACGAGCGCAACCCUUGUCCUUUAGUUACCAGCACAUUAUGGUGGGCACUCUAAGGAGACUGCCGGUGACAAACGGGAGGAAGGAGAGGAUGACGUCAAGUCAUCAUGGCCCUUACGGCCUGGGCUACACACGUGCUACAAUGGUCGGUACAGAGGGUUGCCAAGCCGCGAGGUGGAUCUAAUCGGAGAAAAACCGAUCGUAGUCCGGAUCGCAGUCUGCAACUCGACUGCGUGAAGUCGGAAUCGCUAGUAAUCCCUCAGGUGAGCGGAAUACGUCCCAGGCAUGUACGCCUCCUUAACCAUGGGAGUGGGUGCACCAGAAGUAGCUAGUCUAACGUCGAGGUAGAGUAAUCUACUCGGGCG
rnacentral:rRNA from 1 species